UACACUAUUUAGAUGUGUAAGAAGAGCUAGUAUCUCCAUUGAUCUCUAUUGUACAUGUUUAUACUAGUUACCCUCUGACAUUUCACAGAUUUAGACUAAGGCCCCCAUCUACAUUGUCAUUAUAAUGCAGAUUGAACAGGAUUAUGUGGCAGUGCAGACUCAUAUAAUUCAAUUCAAUGCAGUUUAAUCUACACUGACCCAUAUAAUGCAGGUCAAACUGCAUUAUAUAGCAGUGUAGAUGGAGAGUGGGAGAAAUGACCAAGCAACAGUAGAGUGUGGUCAAGACAGCAGCAUAGAUAAAUCAGGAAAAACACAGAAGCUAGGAGAGGCCCCAGCAGUUUGCUUUUGCCUCAACCUAUUGGGAAAGGCCUGAUUCUAAUUUCUCCUCACCACCACACUGAGGCUCCUUCUACACAGCUGUAUAAAAUCCCACAUCAUCUGCUUUGAACUGAGUUAUAUGGCUGUGUGGAAAGACCCUGAGUUAAGCAGGUGCAAAUUAUUUUUACAAAAUCAUUUUAUAGCAACUGACAUAAGCUGAGGAGAAAGAAGGAAAGCUGGAGUAGGAGAGAGAAACAUUUUUAAAGCAAUUGAAAAAAGGAGACAACAGAGAAUCAGUUGGGACCAUGCCUGUUAAACUGGUUUUUCUUUCCAGAAUGGGCAGAAGUGACCCUGAAGACAUUCCUACGUGUACAGUGUGGAUCAAAAUUAGAUACUCUGCCAGGCAGGCAUUCAAUCCAUCAUGUCUAAGGAUUGGACCCACUUUAUAGCUGUUUCAGCCCACUGCCACAACCUCUGUCUGGUGGAAGACAGAGGGCAUUGGUGAAGUUUCAGGCUUUGUCCCUAUAAUCAGAGGCAGAACAAUGAGAUCAUCCACCAGCACCUCCAAAGUCCCCACAGAUGAUAUCAUCACCCUACAUUUGGAUGUAGGGACAUAGCCAGAUACUUCUCUGAUUCAUCUUGAUGCCACACCAUCCCACAUCUACUGGAAUGAUCAUUGCAUGAGGUUGAUAGAGAACUCUAAACUCCACAAAAACCAAUAAAGGCUUACAAAGAUUUACCUUCAUAUUGUGUCAUUUGACCUCAAC
rnacentral:lncRNA from 11 species